rnacentral:rRNA from 1 species
AGUGAACGCUGGCGGUAGGCCUAACACAUGCAAGUCGAACGGCAGCACAGUAAGAGCUUGCUCUUACGGGUGGCGAGUGGCGGACGGGUGAGGAAUACAUCGGAAUCUACUUUUUCGUGGGGGAUAACGUAGGGAAACUUACGCUAAUACCGCAUACGACCUACGGGUGAAAGCAGGGGAUCUUCGGACCUUGCGCGAUUGAAUGAGCCGAUGUCGGAUUAGCUAGUUGGCGGGGUAAAGGCCCACCAAGGCGACGAUCCGUAGCUGGUCUGAGAGGAUGAUCAGCCACACUGGAACUGAGACACGGUCCAGACUCCUACGGGAGGCAGCAGUGGGGAAUAUUGGACAAUGGGCGCAAGCCUGAUCCAGCCAUACCGCGUGGGUGAAGAAGGCCUUCGGGUUUUAAAGCCCUUUUGUUGGGAAAGAAAAGCAGCAGGUUAAUACCCCGCUGUUCUGACGUUACCCAAAGAAUAAGCACCGGCUAACUUCGUG